rnacentral:rRNA from 1 species
UACGUAGGGCGCAAGCGUUGUCCGGAAUUAUUGGGCGUAAAGAGCUCGUAGGCGGCUUGUCGCGUCGAUUGUGAAAGCCCGGGGCUUAACUCCGGGUCUGCAGUCGAUACGGGCAGGCUAGAGUUCGGUAGGGGAGACUGGAAAUUCCUGGUGUAGCGGUGAAAUGCGCAGAUAUCAGGAGGAACACCGGUGGCGAAGGCGGGUCUCUGGGCCGAUACUGACGUGAGGGAGCGAAAGCGUGGGAGCAAACAGG